AAUUGAUAAGCUCUUUCCAACUUGUCAGAAGCAACUUAGCCGUCUCGCCUUGCGGCCUGGAACCCCUGGCAAUUUCCGGAGCACCGGCAAGAGACUUUUGCACAGUUUCUGCUUGGAGUCUACCGACUGUCUGUCUCAGAGGUGGGGGUUUAUCUCUUGAUCCUGAUUCGUGAGUUACAGAUUAGGCACUGAAGAUUCCAGCACCGGGGAUGCGUAGGGCCGGGGGAGGGAGGGAGGUGCACGUCAGAGUCCACUUAGAUUUUCUGAACUCAUGUCUGUGACAGGUGCAGACCUGGAUUCCACUGGGAGCACCCCCACCCCCACCCCCCACCCAGGGCUAGCAGUUUCAGAGUUCACAGCAUUAAUUAACUCUAAUCUGUUCCCUGAUAGUUUAAAGCAGGCUCAACAUGUGAAAGCAUUUUCCUUCCUGCUUAUUUAAUGGACUUAAUGAGAUAACAAUGAGAAUCUGUGUUUAGGCUCUGUAGCGCAUUUGGCUCUCCCGCCAUGUUUGUAUGAUAAAAGGCAGUGGGCUGUUGUUUAUGCGCUUAGCUGGGGUUUAUUCUUUUUAAACAGGUCUGGACAGCUGCUUGUUACAUUUGGCUCACGCUAGCUUAAAAAAGGAAUUUAUGGACCUUACUGCAGAACGUCCCAAUUCUUCAGGCCAAGAUGUCUUGAACAAGUCAGCAAAGAAAAACAGUUCCGCCUUUGGAAUGUAUGAAAAUGAAGACCGUUGCAGGAGGUCUUGAGCCACAGAGCUGGCUCCAGAGGCAUUGGGAGGAGAAACGCGGCAGGCCUGGCUCACUCAUUAUAUUUCAAGAUCUAUCCCAGCUUGUCACAACAUGGACUGUGUAACUGAGACGAUUCGCGGUUGGUGUUCCCAUGCUGAGGCAUGUGCUGCCCCGGCCCUUGGUUGCUGCGCAAUUUGCUCUCUAUGGACUGUACCUGGGGUGCCUAC
rnacentral:lncRNA from 1 species